GAAAUGCGAUAAGUAAUGUGAAUUGCAGAAUUCAGUGAAUCAUCGAAUCUUUGAACGCACCUUGCGCUCCUUGGUAUUCCUUGGAGCAUGCCUGUUUGAGUAUCAUGAAAUCUUCAAAGUAAAUCUUUUGUUAACUCAAUUGUUUUCUACUUUGGUAUUGGAGGUCUUUGCAGCUUCACACCUGCUCCUCUUUGUUCAUUAGCUGGAUCUCAGUGUUAUGCUUGGUUCCACUCGGCGUGAUAAGUUAUCUAUCGCUGAGGACACUGUAAAAGGUGGCCAAGGUAAAUGCAGAUGAACCGCUUCUAAUAGUCCAUUGACUUGGACAAUACUUUUAUGAUCUGAUCUCAAAUCAGGUAGGACUACCCGCUGAACUUAAGC
rnacentral:misc_RNA from 1 species